rnacentral:tRNA from 1 species
GGCCGCCUGGCGAAAUGGUAUCGCGUCUGACUACGAUUGGGUAUAUAUCAGGAGAUUGCAGGUUCGAGCCCUGCGGUGGUCA